GAUGAACGCUGGCGGCGUGCCUAAUACAUGCAAGUCGAGCGAACUGAUUAGAAGCUUGCUUCUAUGACGUUAGCGGCGGACGGGUGAGUAACACGUGGGCAACCUGCCUGUAAGACUGGGAUAACUUCGGGAAACCGAAGCUAAUACCGGAUAGGAUCCUCUCCUUCAUGGGAGAUGAUUGAAAGAUGGUUUCGGCUAUCACUUACAGAUGGGCCCGCGGUGCAUUAGCUAGUUGGUGAGGUAACGGCUCACCAAGGCAACGAUGCAUAGCCGACCUGGGAGGGGGAUCGGCCACACUGGGACUGAGACACGGCCCAGACUCCUACGGGAGGCAGCAGUAGGGAAGCUUCCGCAAUGGACGAAAGUCUGACGGAGCAACGCCGCGUGAGUGAUGAAGGCUUUCGGGUCGUAAAACUCUGUUGUUAGGGAAGAACAAGUACGAGAGUAACUGCUCGUACCUUGACGGUACCUAACCAGAAAGCCACGGCUAACUACGUGCCAGCAGCCGCCGUAACAC
rnacentral:rRNA from 1 species